rnacentral:lncRNA from 1 species
AGCAAGGAACAUGUUUAUUUAUUCUCUGAGAUAUCAUGCGCCGCACAAAAUCACUUUAUAAUAAUAAGACUUAGUUUGGUAUCGAGGCCCAUCUACGUUAUUAGAUAAAAUGGAGUUUGGGUAAAAACAUCAACAGAUAUGCUUCAGUGUUUUCUGGCGUAAAAAAAUAUAUCAUCACGACAUGCAGAACGCAAUAUUACAUACGAAAAUAAACAUAGAUAUUUUUUCAACAAAUCUCAAUACCAAACAUGCUCUUUUAGUGACCUACGUUCAUUAUAGUAUCAUCAUAUUUAUAAAUAUUUUUAUUUUUAGAAA